CAAGCUUCCUCGUCCUCUUUCAUUCUUGUUGUUUGUUGCGUGAGGUUCACGUUCGAAUUCUGCUGUUAUUUUAAGAAUCUUCUAGCUUUUUCGGCUGGAACUUCUUUAAACAGCACGACAUGAGAGCAAAGUGGCGUAAGAAGCGUAUGCGAAGGCUAAAGCGAAAGCGCAGGAAGAUGCGUGCGAGGUCUAAGUAGACAUAACGUUCCAUGACUGAGAGCCUGGUGACCUUGGAAGUGGACUUCGUUUAAUACAAAAUGCGCAAAGCCCCGGCAUUGGUUAUAAAUACAGUGAUGUUGUAAUCAUUGACCACAAAAAAAAGGAAUAAAAUAUUUAACAAAA